AGUGAACGCUGGCGGUAGGCCUAACACAUGCAAGUCGAACGGCAGCACAGAGGAGCUUGCUCCUUGGGUGGCGAGUGGCGGACGGGUGAGGAAUACAUCGGAAUCUACUCUGUCGUGGGGGAUAACGUAGGGAAACUUACGCUAAUACCGCAUACGACCUACGGGUGAAAGCAGGGGACCUUCGGGCCUUGCGCGAUUGAAUGAGCCGAUGUCGGAUUAGCUAGUUGGCGGGGUAAAGGCCCACCAAGGCGACGAUCCGUAGCUGGUCUGAGAGGAUGAUCAGCCACACUGGAACUGAGACACGGUCCAGACUCCUACGGGAGGCAGCAGUGGGGAAUAUUGGACAAUGGGCGCAAGCCUGAUCCAGCCAUACCGCGUGGGUGAAGAAGGCCUUCGGGUUGUAAAGCCCUUUUGUUGGGAAAGAAAUCCAGCUGGCUAAUACCCGGUUGGGAUGACGGUACCCAAAGAACAAGCACCGGCUAACUUCGUGCCAGCCGCCGCAGUAAAAC
rnacentral:rRNA from 1 species